UUCUGGUUUUGACUAUGAACUACACGUUGAGCUUCUCUCUGAAGACAUGAGCAAGAUCCAGGAGUAUAAGACUGACAUGAUUCAUGCGCCACAGUGGAGCGAUGCAGAAUGGAAGGAGAUAUCAAACACUUUCACAGACUAUGGGCCUGGUGUACGAUAUGUAAAGUUUACACAUGGAGGAAAGGACUCACAGUGUUGGGCGGGAUGGUAUGGAGCCAGAGUCACCAACAGCACUGUCACCAUUGACCAAUAACCUUGCCUCAAAACACAUCUCCUGAUCCUUUCAGAACUGACUUUUGCAACAGUUUUAUUUAGCGUAGCAUGAGCUGCAUUUCCCAGCGGGUCCCAGUACAAAUGAUCUGGGUCAUUGCACAGGCUGUUUGUUUAAUACUGUUUAUGCUAAACAUGGUGCACAUAGCGUGGCAUAAUUAAUAGCGGGCAGAGGAGCUAAGCUGGGAAAAUGCCAAAGGUUGGGAGAAUGCCAAAGAAAAUCCCUCUCCUCUCCUGCCUUCACCCCCCUGGCAAAUGAAUUUACGGCUGUCCUGCUUUAAGUACCAACUUGGAAAAUAGCUGAGGCAAGUAGUUUACUUUAUCUAACCAUAGAUACAAUGAACUACAUCACACUGCCUUGCCCUAUUUAGUCUGUUCGGUUUGGAUUAAAUGUACAAAACCAGGUGAAGAAUCCAUGUGACACAAUCACUAACCAAUAGCUAUGCAACUCAGAGUGUGAACUAUUCUUACAUUUCUGUGCUGUCAUCCAUGUCUGUGCUAAUUUGAGGCAAACAGGAUGUAAGGUGUCCUGAGACAGUCUGCUAGAGUUUACCAGAGAAAAAAAACGAUCAAUUUUCAAGCCAAUCAAUAAUGUUACUGAGUGAUUGAGAAAGUAAUUUGCAUUAAUCAGAUUUGAACGACUAUCAUUGGAUGUACACGCUCUAAAUCUACCAACAAACCUAUUCAAUCCGAUUAGCAAAUAAUUAUGGUGUAUUAUAUUUAAUGGACAAGUAAUAAUUAACAGGCUCCUUUUCCUAGCACCUUAGCACUUCAACACAUUUGCAAAAUCCAUUUUCCAAAGAAACAUAUUUCUUUCAAACUCGGAUUUUAAACCAUCGCCUUUGAAGAUCUGUUGUUCUGCAGCAUCAGACGGCCUACAGGAAACACAGAGAUUCCAGAGUAGCAGGCUAGCUUCAUCUGUGAAGUCUUUGUAUUAGCUGCAGGAAGUAAUUGUAAGCCUAACAGGCAAAGGACAGCAAUAAACAAUAUAUUUUGGUCAAUAAAGAGACACAUGAAAACAGUGGGUCCAGAUAUGAGGAUAAAUGUCAUUCAUGGUAAAUAAGAGCUAUUACAUUGAAAUAUAUGCUCCCGUAUGUAAAAUGAAUAAACCUAAUGUCUAACUGA